GAAUUCAAUAGACCGCCCACAAAAGAUGACAAGAGAAUUACCUACUAGCAAGGCUAUUCAGCUGUGGCUGGUCGGCUACGAGAAUUGAGUGGGCAUACACAACAUUUGAGUGCAUCCGUCACACAGCUUGCUAAUUGUGAAACACCACCUGCACAUGAAGGUCCGGAUGUGCAUCUCAGUAGUGGAGAGCAUGUAGUCGAUGGUGAGCAAGUGGAGCAUGAUCUGGGUACACAACCUCAAGAACGUGAUGUUCCCCACUCAGGUGAAGAGGACCGUGGUGUUCAGCAUGUUGAGGUUGAGGCUACACACAAUGAUGUGGCCC